rnacentral:rRNA from 1 species
AUUGAACGCUGGCGGCAGGCCUAACACAUGCAAGUCGAACGAGUGGCGGACGGGUGAGUAAUGUCUGGGAAACUGCCUGAUGGAGGGGGAUAACUACUGGAAACGGUAGCUAAUACCGCAUACCCUCGGUUGGGCCCAGAUGGGAUUAGCUAGUAGGUGGGGUAAAGGAUCACCUAGGCGACGCUCACUAGCUGGUCUGAGAGGAUGACCAGCCACACGGGAACUGAGACACGGUCCAGACGCCUACGGGAGGCAGAAGUGGGGAAUAGUGGACAAUGGGCGCAAGCCUGAUGCAGCCAUGCCGGGUGUAUGAAGAAGGCCUUCGGGUUGUAAAGUACGUUCAGCGGGGAGGCGUUACCCGCAGAAGAAGCACCGGCUAACUCCGUGCCAGCAGCCGCGGUAAUAC